UACGAAGGGGGCGAGCGUUGUUCGGAAUCACUGGGCGUAAAGGGCGCGUAGGCGGCCCUCCUUGUCGCGUGUGAAAGCCCCGGGCUCAACCGUGGGAACGGCGCGCGAGACGGGGGGGCUGGAGUUCGGGAGAGGAGCGUGGAAUUCCCAGUGUAGAGGUGAAAUUCGUAGAUAUUGGGAAGAACACCGGUGGCGAAGGCGGCGCUCUGGACCGAGACUGACGCUGAGGCGCGAAAGCCAGGGGAGCAAACGGGGAUUAGACUACCC
rnacentral:rRNA from 1 species